AUUGAACGCUGGCGGCAGGCCUAACACAUGCAAGUCGAGCGGAUGAAGGGAGCUUGCUCCUGGAUUCAGCGGCGGACGGGUGAGUAAUGCCUAGGAAUCUGCCUGGUAGUGGGGGAUAACGUCCGGAAACGGGCGCUAAUACCGCAUGCGUCCUGAGGGAGAAAGUGGGGGAUCUUCGGACCUCACGCUAUCAGAUGAGCCUAGGUCGGAUUAGCUAGUUGGUGGGGUAAAGGCCUACCAAGGCGACGAUCCGUAACUGGUCUGAGAGGAUGAUCAGUCACACUGGAACUGAGAAACGGUCCAGACUCCUACGGGAGGCAGCAGUGGGGAAUAUUGGACAAGGGGCGAAAGCCUGAUCCAGCCAUGCCGCGUGUGUGAAGAAGGUCUUCGGAUUGUAAAGCACUUUAAGUUGGGAGGAAGGGCAGUAAGUUAAUACCUUGCUGUUUUGACGUUACCAACAGAAUAAGCACCGGCUAACUUCGUG
rnacentral:rRNA from 1 species